CACAAGCGGUGGAUGAUGUGGUUUAAUUCGAUGCAACGCGAAAACCUUACCACCUUUGACAUGUACGGAAUCCUUUAGAGAUAGAGGAGUGCUCGAAAGAGAACCGUAACACAGGUGCUGCAUGGCUGUCGUCAGCUCGUGUCGUGAGAUGUUGGGUUAAGUCCCGCAACGAGCGCAACCCUUGUCAUUAGUUGCUACAUUCAGUUGGGCACUCUAAUGAGACUGCCGGUGACAAACCGGAGGAAGGUGGGGAUGACGUCAAGUCCUCAUGGCCCUUAUAGGUGGGGCUACACACGUCAUACAAUGGAUGGUACAAAGGGUCGCCAACCCGCGAGGGGGAGCCAAUCCCAUAAAGCCAUUCGUAGUCCGGAUCGCAGUCUGCAACUCGACUGCGUGAAGUCGGAAUCGCUAGUAAUCGUGGAUCAGAAUGUCACGGUGAAUACGUUCCCGGGUCUU
rnacentral:rRNA from 1 species